UAAAAUUCAGCUGGAUGAUUCAUUUUGAUGUAAUAUUAUUAUGUAUAAAACAAACAUCGAUUUGCAUCUUCACCCAAAUGGAUAACCUGGAUGAGCAAAAGAACAGCACCUUAUUGGAAAUGGUCAUAACAAUUUCUUAAGAUUAAGAAGGUAGUGGUGGAUAUGUGGCUAGGAUAGAUCAGAUAAACACAUGUGGGCAAGAGAACUGAUUGAAACUCGCGCAAAUCAAGUCCAUGUGGUUGUUGUUCGGACAAGGGGAAUGUCAUUCUUCUUGUUCUUUUAUUUUUUCUAAGAUGAGAGUGUCAUUAUUCUUGUGACAUGCUAACAUGUACUGUUGGCAGAAAAGUACAAGAGUUGAGAAGUAUAAUAUUUCGAUUAAUUAAACCGAAUUAACUAGUACUGGAAACCAAAGAGAAUAUUGGGCUUAGGAUUGGAUCGGCAGAUCGGAUUGUCGUAGAAUUUAUAAGUGCAUGCGUUUGCGUUUGGGUUUGUACAAAGAUAUUUGUCGAUAUAAUCACCCGCGUGAAUAUAAAGAGAGUUGUAUCAGUAUUUAGUUGCUUAAUGUUUGAAUCCUCAGUGUAAAUUUAUCUUAUCUAUUUGCAUCUUACAGAAGCAACACAUUAUACUCUAAAACUAUUAUGCUCUCCCCAGGCCCGAUCUUAUGUAUUUGGAUUCCUAAAGGACGAAAUUUGUUUUUACCCAUAAAUCAUUACACCAAAAAAUUUGAUGCCCUACAAUUUUUCUAUAAUUUUUUUUACAAAUUUUAGCACCUAAAAUGGGUGCUCGUGAGCUUUAGCUCCUAUCUGUCCCUCUGGUAUUUGAUCGGUGCAGGGACAUCUGUAUGUCGCAGAGUCGUUUGUGCAAUAUUCUGUGAAUCGUGGGAAGGUGAUAAUACUUAUGGUAGAAGCCACUAAGAGCAUUAAUAUCGCAGGCGCUUAAUAGGGUUGCUAAGAUAAUUAUGAUUUAAAAGAAAAUAAAAAUUACCUAUUAAUGCAAGAGGCGCUGCUUAAUUAAGCAUUACAAGAGUCGCUUCUUAUGGGACACACGUCGACAAAGUAUUUCUCUCUCUCAUCUCUCUUUCUCUCCUCAAAGGAGGAACCGAACCUCUUCUUGAUCAAGCUGUUGAUCCACCACCACUGGAGAAGGAGGAGGAUAACGAUCCGGCUCCGGCUCUUUGACCUUGGGGAUGUGAUCCAGUGCAGAGAGUGUGGCUACCGUUAUUGUUGAUGGUACUAAGAGCUUUUGCUAUUAUUGGUCUUGUUCAAGCUCAGGAUCAAGAAGAUACACCUUCUUGGAACUAUGAUGUUCGUCUUUGGAAUGGGACUUACGAGCUGUUCAUUAGCAAUCUCGACACUUCAGAGUCGAUUUCACACGAUAAUGCUUCCAAUAAAUCAAGUCUCUUUGGCGUAUGUUCUCCCCCUAAAGGUUGAAUCAACAAAACGUGUUGUUUCAUAGUGUCUUAAUUGAUCAAGCGUUACUUUAUAAAGAUUUAUUAUAGUUAUAUUUGAUUUCUUACCGAAAGGUGGAAAUUAUUUUGAAAUAUAAUCUAAAGAUGACUUUGGUUAUUGACAAAAAAGUAUUAAAGUUUAAACU